rnacentral:lncRNA from 1 species
AUUUAUUUAGCACGAGUGUUUUUACCUCGACACCGCAACAACAAACCGCAGUAUAAACAUGACAAAGCACCGAACCUUAGUGACUGGUGCCUCUGGCUUACUGGGUAGAGCGAUCAUGAAGGAUUUUCGUGCAUCUCCUGACUGGGAUGUUCUUGGACUGGCAUUUUCCCGCGCACGUGAAGGUCUUAAAAAAGUUGAUUUGUCAGACAAAAAUGCUGUCACUGAUGUCGUCAAUGACUUUACAUUGAUUCUCCACUAAACAUGCAAAUUAGUGAAAAUCCAGUCCCACGUGUGCAUUUGCUAAUACAACUGUAACAAUGUAUGUUUAAACUUUUAUACAUGUCAAACUAUUGUACAGUAAGUAGAAUCAUAUCAAAUUAUAAUGUGUUUGACACAUUUGAGCGAACUACAACUUCAUAAUGAGCUUCAUAUGGACGAUUUUGCCUUGUCCCCCGCUCGGAUGCAUACAUUUGUGCUGAAAUAAUGUCACUUUACUCUUGUGUAUGACAAGCAAUAAGCUCAAUUUUCCUACCUAUUUGUUUCAAAAAUUGAGUGGAAAGACAUUUUACCUGUAUAAAAAGGCUUUUGCAUAAAGUGUGGCUGCUAAACUUUUGUCCCUUGAAAAUCGGAUAGAUACAUUACCAAACUUUGGAGAAGCCAGAGAACCACAUGCAUGCACCUGAUAUGCUUUAAUAUUAUGUUUUAAAAACCAUAAGUUGUUAUGUUUCUCCAUGUAAUAAUCAAACUUUUUACCAUGCAAUUGCAAAAGCAAUGAUAUUGUCUAACUGGCAACAUUAUGUGAAUAAUCAUUUAAAUCGGAAUAGAUACGUUACUACUCUUUCCAACCAAGUAUCAUUUACCAUUACAAGUCCAUUAGAAAUAUUGAUACACAUUAAACAUUCACACAUUUUCUACGUGACUGAAGGUCUUUUUUGUAAAUGUGACAACAAAAAUGGAUCUAUAAAUUAAUUUUUCUUUUUUGCACAAUAGAUACGUUACCAAUAGAUACGUUACCGAUUUUUAUUGAUCGAGACUUUGGUUGACUUUUUCACGUGUUUUAAUAAUGUUGUGUGAUUAUUUUUCUGUCACAGUACGAGAGGGAAGCUACAUAUUGUUUUGAAAUCCAUUUUUAUGAUUAUUUUACUUAAAACUUGGAUAUUGAACUGAUACGAACCUGGAUAACAUGGUAAGUAUAAUUUUUCUAAAGCUUUGUAUACAAUAAUGAUAAAAAAAAUAUUGUAUUUACCUGGUAAUAUUAUGAUAUAAAUAUAUGUAUAUAUUCGAACUUGGUUACCAUGAUUUACAGUCAAAUAAAAAAACUGUGCCAAUGUCACUAUUGGUAACGUAUCUAUCAUUUAUUGUAAAGUAUCUGUUUCAUAUUAAGUAGUGUGUUUUACUACAGGAUACGACUAGAUAUUCUUUUAUAUUUUUGUAUAGAUUAUAAAACUUUAACAGUAGAUAAAUUUCUAAUAUCAGUUAUAUCUUUGAUUCAGAAACAGGGCCGUGUUAGGGGCAAUAAUUAGAAAAUACAUAACCAUUCUAUGCGUCGUAAUGUUAUAAUUUGCAAAUAAAAAAAUAAACCAAAUCUAAUUUCAAAAAUUUUCAUAAAAAUGGCGAACUCGGAGUCGAAAUGCAUUGGCCUUGCCAUGAGAAAAAGAAACAAUUAAACGUCACAAAUCUACAUCAACUAAUGGUUUAUAGGAGAAGUCAUGAAAUGUGAAAUUUGCCUCAUUUCUUUAGCUGAUAUGGUCAUCAAGCAUGAUGUUAAGUAUAAGUAGCAAAAAACUUGCUGACGACUUGUGGGUUACAUUAACUAACGUCAUUUGUAAUAUAGCAUCUCUACAUUUAUUGGCAGAUCACAAAGGACCAUGCACUUGAAUUAAUUGGAGCUAAGUUAAAAUCUAUGCAAAAAUAGACAAUAGAUACGUUGCCACCACUUGAAACAUUAAAAUUGAAAGUAUGUGUCCGUUUUUUAAUCUAAAACUACUUUUAAACACUUACAUUGAAUAUUCUUAUAGUGUUAGCAAGUAAAUCUGUUUUCAUUGUUCAUGGUUUUAAUAUUUCACAUCUUUCUAAAAGAAUAUUAUUAUUUGAAUAGAUACGUUACCAUUUUAAUGACCUUUGAUUACAAAUAGUGAUUUGAAGAUAUGUUAACAAUUUUGUUCAGGCUAAAUUAUGUCAGCAUCAAGACAUUAAAUGUUGGUUGUAUUAUUGUAUCUUACAGCUUUCAUUUGUAUAUAUUAAAACAGCAAAGAAGGCACUGAUUAAUUUGAAAACUAAAUCUUAAACAUUGUUUGUUAUACAAAGAUAAACUGAAAAUAUUUCUUCGAAAAUGUACACAAGUUCGUCGAUUUAGCAAUUCCUUAAGCAGAAUAGUUGUGUGAAUGUAAAUCACAAGCUAAAUAAGACAUGCAUAUGCUCAUGUUAUAAAACAGGUGCUUUUAGUUAAACAAUAGAUUAGUAACGUAUCUAUUUAAAAUGAAAUAAGUAUUUAGGAUGACCUGAUUUCAACCUAAAUUUCGACUUUGUCUACGAAAGCUAAGAAAAUCUAGUAUUCAUUCACUGUUAUUCAAACAUUAAACCUCAAAAUAAUGUACUUAAAAGUUAUUUUGGCCAAAGUUCAUUUUUGAGUUUUCUGACAUUUUAAUUUACAUGUUUAGUGGAGAAUCAAUG